rnacentral:rRNA from 1 species
AUGGCGGCUCCGGCGAGCGGCGGCCGCGGCAGGGCGCGCUCGUGCGAGACGGCGGAGCAGACCCGCGAGUGGAUGGAGGCCAUCGCCUCCUUCCUCGGGCGCCACCGCCCGCUCCUCGAGGCCCACGUCGUCAACUUCUUCAAGGAUAGGCUGUGGGAGAUGGUGGAUGCCGACUGGAUGGAGUGCCUCCGCCGGGAGCCCGUCGAGAGCCUGCUCAUGUUGCCUUCCGGCUGCGUCCAGGACCAUUGGCCAAGUUCACUACAGGAAUUUAUACUCACUGCGAGGUCGCUUGUUCUUCCACGUGAGCAAAAAUCGCCACAAUCCUUUUUACCUAAUUCGCGCGUCGCAUCAAUUGGUACUGUUCUUGCUCAAGGCAUGAACUCUAAGAAGAAGCACGAAAUUGAAGCCCUAUCUGGGAUCGUUGAUGCAAUUGCUAGGAGUCGUGGAGCCAAGACAGUGGUUGAUGUAGGUUCUGGUCAGGGUUAUCUUGCACAAGCUUUAUCCUUUGAGUACCAACUCGCCGUUAUAGCAAUAGAUGCUUCAUCACAUCAUGCUUCUGUUACAAAUACUCGUGCAGAGAGGAUAAAGAAGCACUAUGCUGCUAAAUGUGUAGAGAAGCAACAGUUCAAAGUGCCAAGAACUGUCACUUGUCAUGUUCUUUCUAGUGACACAUUGGCAGCUGUGACGUUGGAUGCAUGUCAAGAUGACCAUGGUGAACAUAUAACAGAAACUAACAACUGUAAUCAGAGUAUUCCUCAGAUUGAGCAACCAAAUCAUAGCAUUCCUCAAUUAGUCCUUGCUGGUCUUCAUGCCUGUGGUGAUCUUUCAGUUAACAUGCUAAGGGUUUUCGUGUCCUGUGAACAAGUACAAGCAUUGGUAAGUGUCGGAUGCUGUUACAACUUGUUGUCUGAGGAUACAGACACCUGCCCUGGUUUUCCUAUUAGCAAGGCUGCUAAAUCAUCUAAGCUGGUGCUUGGCAAAAGCAUCCGUGACCUAGCUUGCCAGAGCGCAGAAAGAUGGAGAAACCUCACCAAGGAAAUGGCCCUACAAAAUUUUGAUAUACAUGCCUUCCGAGCAGCUUUUCAAAUGGUACUUGAGAAAUAUUUCCCUGAAGUGUCAAGAUUGAGUCCAUCAAUUGGAAGGCAAGGAAAAGCACUGCGCCGUCAAAGGCUUCGAAAAGUUAUGGAAUCCCAUUUGGCUAUGGGGAAAGCUGAUGAUUUAUCCUAUCCUAACUGCAAGGAACAACACAUGAAUACAGAUGGUUCAUUGCCCACAGAACCAACUGCUCCUAAAGGGGCUGUCGAGUGUUGCAGCAACGAACUUUGUACAGGUGAUACUUACUCAACUUCAGCAGUUGUUGGUUCAUCCAUAUCAAGAGUUAACGUGGGACCAAGUGACACCAAUCUUGAUGAAUGUUGCAAGUUCACUCUUUUCAAAGAUUUCACAAUCUCUGGAUUAGGGCGUCUUGGCUGUGGUUUUGUGGAAGAUGUUAAUCUACUCGAAAUAUGGAAGGAUGUGCAACACUUCACCGAGUUCAUAGGUCCCUUUUGGUGCCUCCGGGCUGCUUUAGGUCCACUGGUGGAAACAUAUAUUUUACUUGAUCGGUUACUGUUUCUUCAAGAGCAAGGAAGUGCAGUUGAAGCGUCAUUGUUUCCUCUGUUUGAUCCCGCCAUGUCUCCAAGGAAUAUGGCACUAGUUGCUUGGAAGUUAACGGGUGAUCCUUUAGAACCAAGUCAUGAUAUGGGAAUGUACAAGAGAUUGCCCUCGAGCAGCGUGCCUUUAUCCAAUAAAUGCUAG